rnacentral:rRNA from 1 species
AUGAGUAGCGAGAUGUGGGUGAGAAUCCCACAGGCCGUAAACCCAAGGUUUCCAGGGGAAGGUUCGUCCGCCCUGGGUUAGUCGGGACCUAAGCUGAGGCCGAAAGGCGUAGGUGAUGGACAACAGGUUGAUAUUCCUGUACUACCGAUAACCGUUUGAGAGAAGGGAUGACACAGUAGGAUAAGCUAAGCACACUGUUGGUUAUGUGUGCCCAAGCAUUGAGGCAGUCAAAGUAGGCAAAUCCGCUUUGAUAAUGCUGGGAUGUGAUGGGGAGCGAAAUUUAGUAGCGAAGUAGCUGAUUUCACACUGUCAAGAAAAGUCUCUAUCGAGGUUAAAGGUACCCGUACCGCAAACCGACACAGGUGGGUGAGGAGAGUAUCCUAAGGCCAGCGAGAGAACUGUUGUUAAGGAACUCGGCAAAAUGACCCCGUAACUUAGGGAUAAGGGGUGCCACCAUCAGGUGGCCGCAGAGAAUAGGCCCAAGCGACUGUUUACCAAAAACAUAGGUUUCUGCUAAGUCGCAAGACGAUGUAUAGGAGCUGACGCCUGCCCGGUGCUGGAAGGUUAAGGGGAUCUGUUAGAGCAAUCGAAGCAGUGAACUUAAGCCCCAGUAAACGGCGGCCGUAACUAUAACGGUCCUAAGGUAGCGAAAUUCCUUGUCGGGUAAGUUCCGACCCGCACGAAAGGCGUAACGAUUUGGGCACUGUCUCAACAACAGACUCGGUGAAAUUGUAAUUCCGGUGAAGAUGCCGGAUACCUGCGACAGGACGGAAAGACCCCAUGGAGCUUUACUGUAGCUUGACAUUGGGUCUUGGUACUACAUGUACAGGAUAGGUGGGAGGCUUUGAAACCAGGACGCCAGUUUUGGCGGAGCCAUCCUUGGGAUACCACCCUUGUAGUACUGGGACUCUAACCAUAGGCCAUGAAUCUGGUCUUGGGACACUGUCAGGUGGGCAGUUUGACUGGGGCGGUCGCCUCCCAAAAGGUAACGGAGGCGCUCAAAGGUUCUCUCAGUACGGUCGGAAAUCGUACGUAGAGUGUAAAGGCAAAAGAGAGCUUGAUUGCAAGACAUACAGGUCGAGCAAGGAUGAAAAUCGGACUUAGUGAUCCGGUGGUUCUGCGUGGAAGGGCCAUCGCUCAACGGAUAAAAGCUACCCUGGGGAUAACAGGCUUAUCUCCCCCAAGAGUCCACAUCGACGGGGAGGUUUGGCACCUCGAUGUCGGCUCAUCACAUCCUGGGGCUGUAGUAGGUCCCAAGGGUUGGGCUGUUCGCCCAUUAAAGUGGUACGCGAGCUGGGUUCAGAACGUCGUGAGACAGUUCGGUCCCUAUCCGUCGCAGGCGUAGGAAAUUUGAGAAGACCUGUCCUUAGUACGAGAGGACCGGGAUGGACGUACCUCUGGUGUACCAGUUGUCCUGCCAAGGGCAUGGCUGGGUAGCUAUGUACGGAAUGGAUAAGCGCUGAAAGCAUCUAAGCGCGAAGCCAACUUCAAGAUAAGAUUUCCCACCGCAAGGGUAAGACCCCAGAAAGACUAUCUGGUUGAUAGGUCGAAGGUGUAAGUGCAGCAAUGUAUUUAGCUUAUCGAUACUAAUAGGUCGAGGACUUGACCAAU